GAUGAACGCUGGCGGCGUGCCUAAUACAUGCAAGUCGAGCGAACAGACGAGGAGCUUGCUCCUCUGACGUUAGCGGCGGACGGGUGAGUAACACGUGGAUAACCUACCUAUAAGACUGGGAUAACUUCGGGAAACCGGAGCUAAUACCGGAUAAUAUAUUUAACCGCAUGGUUCAAUAGUGAAAGACGGUUUUGCUGUCACUUAUAGAUGUAUCCGCUCCGCAUUAGCUAGUUGGUAAGGUAACGGCUUACCAAGGCAAGGAUGCGUAGCCGACCUGAGAGGGUGAUCGGCAACACUGGAACUGAGACACGGUCAAGACUCCUACGGGAGGCAGCAGUAGGGAAUCUUCCGAAAUGGGCGAAAGCCUGACGAAGCAACGCCGCGUGAGUGAUGAAGGUCUUCGGAUCGUAAAACUCUGUUAUUAGGGAAGAACAAAUGUGUAAGUAAAUAUGCACGUCUUGACGGUACCUAAUCAGAAAGCCACGGCUAACUACGUG
rnacentral:rRNA from 1 species